CACGUAGGGACCAAGCGUUGUCCGGAUUCAUUGGGCGUAAAGAGCUCGUAGGCGGUUCGAUAAGUCGGGUGUGAAACCUCCAGGCUCAACCUGGAGACGCCACCCGAUACUGUCGUGACUAGAGUCCAGUAGGGGAGCGUGGAAUUCCUGGUGUAGCGGUGAAAUGCGCAGAUAUCAGGAGGAACACCAGCGGCGAAGGCAGCUCGCUGGGACGGUACUGACGCUGAGGCGCGAAAGCGUGGGGAGCGAACAGG
rnacentral:rRNA from 1 species